UAGUAAGUUGGCAGAAUAGUGCCACUGACUUAGGAUCAGUUCAAGGGUGUACCCACUUACUAU
rnacentral:tRNA from 1 species